UGCUUAACCAUGCAAGUCGAGCGGAAAGGCCCUUCGGGGUACUCGAGCGGCGAACGGGUGAGUAACACGUGAGCAACCUGCCCCAGGCUUUGGGAUAACCCCGGGAAACCGGGGCUAAUACCGAAUAUGACCUCUGACCGCAUGGUUGGUGGUGGAAAGUUUUUCGGCUUGGGAUGGGCUCGCGGCCUAUCAGCUUGUUGGUGGGGUGAUGGCCUACCAAGGCGACGACGGGUAGCCGGCCUGAGAGGGCGACCGGCCACACUGGGACUGAGACACGGCCCAGACUCCUACGGGAGGCAGCAGUGGGGAAUAUUGCACAAUGGGCGGAAGCCUGAUGCAGCGACGCCGCGUGAGGGAUGACGGCCUUCGGGUUGUAAACCUCUUUCAGCAGGGACGAAGCGUAAGUGACGGUACCUGCAGAAGAAGCGCCGGCCAACUACGUGCCAGCAGCCGCGGUAAGACGUAGGGCGCGAGCGUUGUCCGGAUUUAUUGGGCGUAAAGAGCUCGUAGGCGGCUUGUCGCGUCGACCGUGAAAACUUGGGGCUCAACCCCAAGCCUGCGGUCGAUACGGGCAGGCUAGAGUUCGGUAGGGGAGACUGGAAUUCCUGGUGUAGCGGUGAAAUGCGCAGAUAUCAGGAGGAACACCGGUGGCGAAGGCGGGUCUCUGGGCCGAUACUGACGCUGAGGAGCGAAAGCGUGGGGAGCGAACAGGAUUAGAUACCCUGGUAGUCCACGCUGUAAACGUUGGGCGCUAGGUGUGGGGGGCCUCUCCGGUUCCCUGUGCCGCAGCUAACGC
rnacentral:rRNA from 1 species